UCCACCAACUUCACCAAGCCCCUCGGGAAGAAUGGGAAAAUAUUCCACAAGCAGCAUCAAUAACCUCAUUAACUCUAUGCAUGGAAGAUGUGUGACUCAUCACCAAUACAAAAUGUCUAGUCUAUGACCCCACUGUCUGCCCACUAUCAUUUCCAAAAUAGAACUUGGUUGUUUCCAGACAACCACUUUGUUGUAGAGCUAAUGUGUGUUGGAACAAUAAAUACUUGAAGAAUUAUCUAUUUUAAUAAAAUAAUACCUGCUGCGUUCGUGCAUUUUACAUUCAACUUAGAGACCCAGGCUUCAUUAGCAUUGUGCUAAUGGAGGCUAGCGUCAAAGACAUAUUUAAUGUUCACUAACACAUUUAUCAUGUAAACAUUAUAGGUUAAUAUUGUGUCAAUGUUGCGUUUUUGUCUUGUUCUGCUAUAACCAAGUGACCAAAGCCAGUUAAUAUUACUUCAAAGCUUUAAGUCUUCAGUUGGACUUCGCAAUUGCGCACUGCUGACACGGUCUCCGCGCACAGAAAAUCUGCGCUGCGCACACACACACAAAAAAUCCAACCUAAAUUGUAAAUAAAAUAAACAUGUAGCAAUUCAUUCUGUGCUAUUUUUCAGUGUGAGUCAGUGAGUGACCGGUGACUGGCUGCUGCAGCCAAUGAUGCGAUUCACAUACGUAUUUACCAUAGACUGUAUAUAAUGGUAUUUACGCAGCUAAUCAACGUCAGGCGUUCUUAUGUGCAGCUACCGUUGCUCUCAUAGAUAUGAAUGAGUAGAUAGGACACGCCCCUUUGAGCUGCGUACUACAGCGAGGCUAAGCUAGCGGUGGCAAAGUUUCAGUGCAUUCCGUUGAUGUAGACAGCGUGAAAACGGAAACAACAAGUAUGCCGGAUCACUGUGCUGCAUACAGUUAAACACUACGUCGUAUGAUUGAGACAAGGAAACUUGGAAUGACUUUUCAUAGGUUUCCCAGAGACUAUGGGUUGAGGAGGAAUUGGAAGUUUGUCGGCUUAGACCUGGUGUCAUUCCAUCAAUGUUAAACUUCCCGGCUCAUCUUGGAAGAGUACGUGCCAGAAAGACCACAACCAAGCAGCCUUGAGAUCUUAGACAGCGUCUCCCUGAGGUCCCUCUCUAUCUCCCCACACAUCCACCAACCACUGGAACACAUCUCCAAAGUUCUGCCGGGCCAGCUCAGCUUCCCCUCAGAAGAAGUGGCGCCACCUGCCAGAUGAAGGAGCCUUUUGAGAGGCAGCUGGUAUCGUGAUUGGACUGUACUUUGGUCUGUUCCAAUCCAGCUUCAGCUCCAGAGACGGCAGGCGGGACGAGUCAACGGAGGCCUGGUGGACGAAGGCUUGCAGCUGAGUACAAUCCAGAAAACAACAGAGGAAGAAACAAACAUAGUGUAUACAUCAUAUACUGUAUAAAAGACACAUCCACUGUAGAAUUGUAGUAAUUGUGGGCUGACUGAUUUACUGAUUAGCAGUAUUUUAAUUUUUACCAAUUUACGGUAAUAAAUAAAUUUAAAAAUGGUGCUACUUUGGCUCUGAACCUUUGUCUACCUGUGGUCGCUCUGUCUUCUGGAGUGAUUUGAUUGGUUAUACGUCACAAAUAAAACUCCUUUAACUUAACAUCUGUAAACAAAACAAAAACGUAUCAACAAAGUUUUCUGUUAGAGUUUGUGUUCUUCUAAGUUUAACUCAAGAUUUUAAAUACUUUCAUUUACUGCAAAUGAAUAUCUACUCCAAAUGUCUCACUAAUACUCAUUAUCAGCCUUAAAAACCCACAAAACACCCCUCUAUACUUGACCACACUUAGUACAGUCCAGUUCCCCCUUCUAUAAAUCUGCUUGGAAUCCUUCACUUCCUGUUUGUCAAAGUGGCCUUCUACCUGGACAGGUUUUGUUGGAGCUCAUGCAACAAACAUUUUGGGUAACUGCACUUUAAUAUGGAUGGAUGACACUGAAUUAAAGUCUGUUUUAAUGAGACUGAGUUAAGAUAUGUAGCUCUGUCAUUAAAUAGUAAAUUAUUUCUCAGAAUUCACAGAGAAAAGUCUGAAAUGUUUGCUAGGUUAGCAUCCCACAUGUUCUUUGGCUCAGCUAAAGCUAACUCUCUCCAACUUGUGGAUCUCUUGAGUUGCUUGUUGUUAAAAUAUCUUGCUUGAGGUGCUGAAGCUCAGAAAGUCUGAGAUGUUUGUUCAGAAUAAGCUCAUUCUCAAGUCGUAUCUGAACUGUCCUCUUUUGUUUGAACUUUCCCUAAACUUAGGAGUUAAUGACAGAGCAGCACAUCCAGACUCAGUCUCAUUUAUGUAGAGAUUAAACUUCAGUGUCACUCAUUGAUGUUAAAGUGCAGUUUUUCAAAUGUUUGUUGCACAUGCUCCCGACCAAACCAGUCCAGGUGGAAGACGAUGUGAAGAGAAAGCUCCAGAGGAUGAAUAUCACACAUUUACGUUGGAAAUAAAUGUCCUUUAAUUAGACAUUGUCAUGCAAAAGUUGGAUUUCCCUUUGUUGAGUGUUUUGUUGAUGUUGGUUUCUAAAUGUUUUUGGACACUCGGCCCCAAAGAUUAAAAACUUCUAUGGCUCACAAGCUGCAACAAUUCACACAUUAUCAACUAUCUUUCUGACUACACUAAGAUAAAAAGUGAAAAACUGCCUGAUUCCUGCAUCAUGAAUGUAAAUCUUUUUGGUUUUUAUGACCGUAAACUGAAUAUAUUUGGGCUUGACAUUUUAUAAACCAAAACAAGAAAUGAAUUACUGGAGAAAACGACAGAUUAAUAGACAAAGAAAAUGUGUUUUCUAACAUAUAUUGCUGAAUUACUCCAACAUUACAAGAUACAUACAAUUUUAAUUCAAUUAUAUUAAUAUAACUCCAAUUACAGGUCAAAUUGUCUCAAGACGCUUUAUUUUUAUCAUAUUUAAAAUAUGACAAAGUAAGAAAUUUAAACCUCUUGACUAAUCCAAUUAUUUGGUUUUUAAGAGACUAACGGACAAUUAAAAUAACUUUCUCCACUAAAACUACUAAACAUGAGGUCAAAUAGAAGGAACAGUUUUAAAUACUGCAGUCCCACGACGACAAGAAUAAAGUUUGUCAACAAAAACUAAAUCUGCUGGUGGAUUCCAUUAAAGUCCUAAUAAAUGAUAAUAAAGUGUGAUACUAAAGGUUUGUGGUGCUAAAAAUCUCCAAGAUAUCAAGUUGAACAUCUGGAUGGAGGUUGAUAAAAGUUGACCUCCCUUCAUUUCUGUGGAGCGACUCCAUGGAUUUUAUGGAUGGUGGUUAAAGACCUGCUCUUCUAGUCGUCUUCCUUCUAGUCGCUGUAAAAAGUCAGUCCAUCCUGGCCGACUUCAACACCUCUUCAUCACAACUUCUUCUGCCUACGACCUGGUGGAAACUCCAGAAACUCGGGAAAACCUGUCGAGACUCGAUGAACUCAUGGAGAC